rnacentral:tRNA from 1 species
GGAGACGUGGCCGAGUGGUCGAAGGCGCUCCCCUGCUAAGGGAGUAUUCGGGAACGGUAUCGAGGGUUCGAAUCCCUUCGUCUCCGCCA